GGAGAUUCAUUAUUAAAGUAAAAAAGAAUGCAUUGGUUUAAAUAGCUUUUUUUUUUUAAAAAAAAAAAAAAAAAAAAAAAAAAACUAAUUCCAGGCCUGCAUUUUUUAUUGCUCAAUACAAAUCAGAAGUCUGCUACUUAAGACAGAUUUCUCUAAGUCUUGGUUUAGCAGGUUUAAUACACUAGAACUAAAUGACAAGAGGCUAAAAUUGUGCUGUUGUCUUGAUCAUUCUUAUCUAGAACAAGUCUGUCCUGUAAUGCCAGGUGUGCCUGGGCUUGGUUCUCUGCAACCCUUUACAUGAGGACAGGCCACCACCAUGGUCACACUUUGGGCUUUUCUGCUCUGCCUGCCACCGUCAGUGUUUACACCGAACAUGGGAAAGUGGAGAAUUAAGUCCAGUAUUUUUCAGGCUUCCUUGAAAACGUUCCUUGCUGUGUAAAAUUAUGGCUUCAUUUCUGUCCUGAGGUGGUUACACACCUGUGACAGGCCAGUACACAUCCACCUGCGUUUCACCUGUAAUGGGAACGUAACUUUCUCAGGACAGGAGACAGCCGUAUCUCUGAUGUAGCCAGGGGUGCUGGUAUUCAAAUGAAACUAACUGCUCUGAUUUUAGAAUGUAGUGGUCAUUUUUUCAUUAGUGACCAAAUGUUUCCAUCCAUUUUCUGCAAAUACAAGAACAUUAUGCAGCUGUACCUUGAGUGAUACCAUUGUCCUGUCCGAGUAGAGCAGCUGUACAUGCACAUCAGAUGUGUAGGUUGAGGUCCCCCUCUUUAGAGGGGACAGAUGCCAAUUUUAACAAUACAUGAAGUACUAAUUCUGCCUUUUCUCUAUUUUGUAAUUUUGAUUUCUUAUUCUAGACUCAUUUGAACUUCUACAACAUGACCAAAAGCUUCUUGUCUGUCCCUCUUUCCCUGUGCCAUGCAUCCACAAAUACUAUUUUAAUCUCCCCCUCUUUGUGCCUGCAGCUGACAGGGCUGUGGCUGGGUGCCACAGCACUCAGCCUGAGCGCCCUGUGCCUCGGGGAGAUGGAUGCUGUAUGCUUGCAGCCAUCAGUCUUAGCAAAAAAAGAUCUAAAAACCAUCCAGAGGCUGUUGGCACAGCACAGCACCACAUACAGGACUGACAGACAGCUCCUGCUUACAUUACUAUUCCUAUUACUCAGUAAAGAGAGCUAUGGUAAUUAAUAACACCCUGACUUUUAGGACAACACUCCUGUUGCUUCAUGUUAAACUUUAAAAAAAUAUAUAAAUAAAAUAAAAAACCCUCCCUCUUGCUGCUAUCAUUUACAGCGGUCUCCUGAGCAGCAAGUCUUACCUGGUUGGUAUGUUGUAAAUUAUUUCCUUGCAUACUGUACUGACUCUGUUUAAAUAGAAGACAGGAGACUCUCUCUCAUAAGCUCACAAACCUGAAAAGUAGUGUUGUUCAUGUGAAAGGAUUCUUUUUUUAAAAUAAUGUUGACAUAUAUAAGUAAACAAGUUAAUGUUCUUCUCCAUCAGUGCUUGAGACAUUAAUGCAUCCAGCAUUAAUUUAAGUGGGUACAGCUGAUAAGGGCUGUGCUGCUUACACUGAGCUCACCACAUGACUCAUGUUCUGUGUUUGUUUGCAAACUUGGAGAGGGGAAUGGGGCAUUUUUAUUUUUAUUUUUUUUGUUAGCAUUAACACAAUUUUAACUCUCAUCUGCUUUCUUCUGAGCUCCCAUUCCUGAUUCAGCACGCAUGAGUCUGCUAACGAAAUCCAGAUGUCAGACAAAAAAACAAUAAGCUCUCCCACCCAUCUGGUGGAUCAAGUUUCUCAGAGAUGGGGAAAAAAAGAAUCAGGAGAGAUUCCUAGAAUGGCUGAAACUUUAGAUUUCAGCUUGUUUUCCAAGACCAGAAGGCAGCAGGGGGGGUGGGUAUAGCUUGGAGGUAAAACUGAUCACAAAUCAAGAUUCUUGGUGGAAAAGUUGAGAAGAAAUUGAAUGAUUAUCGGUUACUCUUAGCCCUAAACAGGCAUAGUAUGUCCCAAAUUUAGCACUGCUACUGAAAAAUUACACUGAGCAUCACAAAUGGCAAUUCUGAGUCAGAAAUAAAAAAGCUACGUGAGGUACAUACUGAAUUGUUUGCUUCCUCAGCUAUGCUGUUUCAGGGUCCCAGUCCCUCUAGAGCCUCAAUAAACGUAGAAGGAGAAUGGUAACAUUGUCUCCUAGUUUUCUUUGGAGGAUUAUCUGCAGCAUCUCACAGCUGUAACUCUGGGCUUCCUCUCUGAAGCCUGACCCUAGUCGUAGGCUGAGCUGCACACAAGGUGCCUGAGCCCUUUCCAAGACCAAGAAUUCCUCAGGGACAAUUCUUUCCACAGCCCUCAGUCUCCUUGGCAGCCUCUUUCCAGCCCAAAGGCUUUCUCCAUAACCCCUACCCUGACCACAAAGCUUUAGACUGAGCAGUCCAGUCCUUCCCCAGACUAAGAAUUCCUCACAGGAAUUUUGUUUUGCAGCCCUCAGUCUCCUUUGCCAGCUCAUUUCCCAACAGCCGUAGCUCUGGGUCAUCAUCUUUCAACACAAACCCUAAUGCUUGGCAGAGCCACGGUGCAGGAGCCCCACAGCAUACAGAGACCCACUAUGCCGUAAAGGUGAAUUGCUACAAUUAGUCUUCUGGCACUUCAGAAGAUCAUAUGGAGCCCCCCUACAACUGUAUCUUCACAUCUUUUUCUCUCUCUGAUUUACAUUUCUGGAAUAUAAUCUAAUCCUUACAAUUAUUACACUUUAGGCCUGAGAAGAAAUUUCUGUACCAUGAGUCUUGGGCUAAGGAACCCCUUGGAAAAAGAAAUUUUCAUUUUUAGGGGAGCUGCUUAAUAAAAAUAAAUUUUUACUUGAGCUUUUUAUGUGAACAGGUCAAAGGAAUGUUUCCAGACAAGUGAAUAAUUGAAAGAAGCGUUGUCCUUCGUACUUUCAGUAACAUCAGAGCAUAUUAGAGCAUGCUUUGACUCCAAGGCGUGUUCCCAUAGGCACAGGUUGUGAGACGUAGGUUUUCCUCAUUUCCAUUGUAUUUGAUUUAAAACAAGCCACAAACUGCUUUUAUGCUACUUCUGCCUUUAUGUUUCAACAGCAGCACUCCUCUAGAUUGGCAAGACAGAGAGGAAGGUUGCUCUACUGCUACAGAAGCUCUGUCCUUUACAGGCCCUUCCCAGACCUGUGGAUGGAGGAUUUAUGGCCAUGAAGCAAAAGCUCCCUCUCAGUCACUCAAGGCAGUUCUGUGCCUGUUCCCUAUAAUUUAGCCUCUGAGCUUUCUCAAGGCAUGCGCUUGUGGUUUGCAUUCUUAGUCUCUUCCCAGGGUCAGUCUUGUGUGUGUAAUGUAGUGUUUCUGUUUAGUAACUGUCUCCCCUAACAUGGGAAAAAUGAGGUCAGAUAUGCCUUCUCCCAUUCAAAGUGCAAGGUAUAUUGCUGCUGAGCUUCAGCUCCUGUGAGAGCAAGUAACACUGUCUCAGCUCAGCUGGCAACCCAGGAAAGCUCAGUUCUGCUCACUAACAAAUGCUGCUCUGCUGGUAGCAGUCUUCUUUGUGCCAGAAAGCAGAGCACUCAACAGAAGGGACCUUCUCUUAGCACUUGCGCCUCUCCGAGCUCUAGGCAAGGUCUGCCUCUGCUUCGGACCAGUUGGUCCCAGCUAAUUCUGAUCCAGAAGUCCUGUAACCAUAGGUAGGCAUUCUGCAGAUAAGGGGUUUUCAAGCUUUACAUCUCUGAAUGUUGUACUGUUUUGCAUGGAGGACAGUGGCAAAGGCCCAUAGUUGUAUCCAGUAUGACAGAGAUAAAUCUUCUGACCAUCAGGAGAUGGUAGAAUUACUCAUGGACGUACACAACAAGAGCAGCAGUUUAGCAUCAGCACAGACUCUGGGAGGUGUCUGCUGUCAUUCCAAACAGAGCUAUUGAAUGUUUGUACCUCCUACAUAGAGAACCACUCUGCAGCUACCGGCACUUCGAAGUACUAGAUCAGUAGAUCACAGACUACAUAUUCAACCAAGGUCAUCGAGCCGCUCAUUAUUCAUGAGCAGGUCUUAUCUGAACACCGGUUCCCAUUGGUGAUUAUUUGUGAUGAUGGAUGCUGGGUGAUUAGAGCUGGGUGCAGUCUGCAGAGUUUGCCUUAGAGCCUGUGUUGUUGUAGCAGUUCCUCUGGUGGGGGUAUGCAGAGAUUCAACAGGACCAGUGUGCAAAGAUAGCGCAGUGGGGACUAGUGGCAGAGCUGUAAUCAUCACUGCUCUUUCUGGGGGCAGGCUGAGUGUCCCUUUCCACAACGGAUGCAAACCACCUCAAUGCAAUUCCUUGGAUCUUACCCAUCUUCAUCAGGAGGAAGAGCAGUAUCUCACGAAAGCAUCGCUCUUCAUAAACACUUGUAAUCAUAUAUUUUCUUUUUACUUCAUAGUCUUCUCUCCUACAAGCCCCUAAUACAUUUGAUGGCUGAUAAGGGUCAAAAGCAGAAGCUAGUGUAGAUAGGAGCCAGGGAAGUGUGAGAAGUGAGAAGACAGCUGUUGCCUGAAGACUGCCAGCUGUUGUAAAAUGUAAAAUGGGAGAGGUCAGUGUACAGCAUCACCUUAAGUAUAGUUAAAUAGGGACCUAUGUCUGUGGUGAAGACCUACUAUUUUCAGUAUGGGCUAGAGUCAGACAUAAGCAACUUUGGACGGUCAGCCUUCAGAAACAGGGUAUUGUCUUGUUCCAGCAGAAUUAGUGGAGCAUGCACAAAGGGUCUGACCCUGCUGACCCUAUGUUCUGCACUGUAUCAUACCUUCUCUUUAUCUUACCUCCAUUGUUGAGAUUCUUCCCCAAUCAAUUUCUCUCCUUAUCCAGCUGCUACUGUUAAAUUCCUCAUCCCUUUUCCAGAGUAUCAAAGAUCAGGAUUUUGACCCCAUUCAGUCUCCUUUCCAAGGUAUUUUCCACUGAUGUAGAAUAAUUAAGGCUGAAGAAGAGGUAUUUAGCACACUGAAGCUGACAUAAUGGGGAAUGGAAAGCACAACUCUUGUAUUUCUUGUAUACAGUUCCCAGAGACACAAACCUUAUCUACCUUUCUAACCUCUUUUUUUUUUUUUUUUUUGCUAUACUUUUCUCUUUUAAUCUCCAGUGGCUGCAUUUCAUUCAUCACUGCAAGCCACUCUAGAAAGCAUGUCAUUUAUCUGCUUAGUAUAUCUAGCAAGCUAACACACAGUGGUUUCAUCUCUGGAUGUUUUUAGCACACUUUGGAUGGGUACAUUACAAUAACGAACAUAACCAAAGUGCAGUGAGCCCCAAGAGUUAAAUCUAUAGAUUCAAAAACACAAAAAUUGAAGUUCUUGAAAAAGCAUACAGUACUUUUUAGUAGGACUCCAUAAAUCGGACUGUAAACCAGCAGUUGAAUAUCCAGCAGUAAAUUUUCACUGUCUCCUUAUAACACUGAUGUAUUCCAUACUGCUUCUUAGAAACCUGACUCCUUCUCAUGACAGUUCUUGCUAGGAUGAGUAACUGAAUUUGGACACUGUAAGUACCACCACACUGUACAUCUCCAGAAGAGAAAGAUCCUUGGAACCAAUUUUCCUUUUAAGCUCUCCCUGACUUUUCUGUUGGGGUAAUGUACAUGAACCAAUGAGAUAAACAUCCCACAGACUGCAGAGCUUGUGGUCCUUCUCACUUAGCUGAGCCUUUUAUGAAAAUUAUGAAAAUUUUAUGAGAAUUAGGACUGCAUGCCAACAGCAUGCAAUUUCCAGCUCCAAAGGAGCUGCUGUAAUACAAAUAUAUAUACAAAUCAUGUGAGAUAGAAAAUGAGAUAUAUAAUCAUGACACAGAUGUUCAGGAGGAAAACAGCUUAUUCUUUCAAAUACUGAGUUCUCUCUACUGAAAGAGCCCACAGGUCAAGUCAAUGAAGCAGUAGUAUUUCACCCAAGUAGUUGAUACAGAAAUUUCUCUUGAGGCACUCACUACAUUUUAGAUGCUGCAGACAAUGAACCUCUGAAUACAUUGGAUUACAACGUGAGGAAAUAGUGAUCUAGAGUGAAAACAGGUAAAAUUUUGACUUCAAAUUCUACUUUCUCUGUCCCAAUUGAAUGGGGAAAGAGGGGAAAUAAAGAUAAAUUAAAACCCAAACUCCACUUUAAGUCAUAAUACCUGCAUUAGCUUUGCUCUUUAUGUCAACUUCUUCACAGAAAACGUGCUUUGCACUGCAGUUUUUUCAUUGCAGGCAGUUUGCAAUUAGUUCUCCAUUUCAAACAGCGACAGGACUAGGAUCUGCAAAAUCUUCCCUCUUCUCUGUUGCUAUCAGUUUUUGCAUUACCACCUCUCCUAAGUUUUCAGCACUGUUUUCUGUGUUGGACCUCGUAUCUGAAGGCAGGCAAGCUUAACAGCGUCAUUGCUCACAGACACGUGAACUUGCUUCUGUUCAGGUCUGUGGGGAUGCAUCUGUUUGUAAUAUUGGAUGAUGUGGCCCACAAUACGUUUGCGUAACAAACAGGAAAAGCCAGGUAAUACUAGUAGCUGAGAAUUUCGGCUAGUGUGGCAGUCCGACCUUAUUUAGCUGUUGUGAUAAUGGGAUAGAAACAACUCAAAUUGUGCAAUGGAGAUGUUAACCCCGAGUCAGAAAUGACAAGACAAUUCUCUAAACCAUGCAUUGUACUUUGUAUUUUUCUUCAUGUUUCCACAUAAAACAAGUAUUUCUCAUUCUAAAUGAUGUCCCCUUCCUAGAAAGCUAUCUGCUCCUUUCUGAUUCAAGGCUGGAGAUACAAAUGUUGACCACCUACAUCCCAGCCAACACUGAGAACCACAGGUUGCAUACCAACAGUGCUAUAGAGCGAGCCUGUGACUGAUGUGCUAUCUAUUGCCAGCAUUUAACUGCUCAGUUAGGUCCUCAGAAGCAGUAAAACUUUCUGCUUGUUUCUCCAAAGCUGACCAAAUUGCUCUGAGAACUGAAGUAGAAAACAUAUUCUGUCUCUCUGAUUUCACAUUCAGCUGUGGUAGAAUGUAGUUGUGUGCAACCGAUCCGAUGAUUCAGGUCAUUGCAUCAGUCACCUGACCCCUUCCUUAUUUACCACACCUCAAAAAUUCUAUCCCCUGCAGACUUUAUUAGUCCUUAUUUUGUCUUUGGCCCUUUUUUGGCAACAACUUCAUGUAAUAUUAUCAAACUGAAACAGAAGAGAACUGUUGCUUCAGCACCCACAUUUUGAAAAUGGUGAAUUUUCAUUUGCAGAUUCAGCUCACCCCUAAACUAGCUUUGACAAGCACCUCAUUACAACCAGUUCAGGUUUGGGGCUGAUUCCGGGAAUAGUGAAUCUGGGAGACUGACUGACUCACACUGACAGACACUAGGUACUAAAAGUUACCUCAUACUAGUCAUCACUGUGAGUAAGAAUCAAAGCUGUUCCGGCAGUUUUCAAAAUAUAAAAACCUUUCUAAUUUCUGAAUACGUGAUUUAUGAUUUCACAUAUUUAUAAAAAAAAUAAUGAAUUAACGUAGUUAAAAUUCAGCUUAAGUUCCCUUGCUGCAUAGUAAUAUUAUAGAAUCAUAAACAGUUAACGCCUUACGUGUUUAACUGCGAGGACUAAAAAAAUAGAAAAACAAAGGCAAUCUCUGCAAAAAUAAAAAAAUAGAUGAAAGAAACACUUUGAAGUUAUGUUUGACAAAACACCGUGGGAUUAUAAAGCAUAGACAAAAAUAGCAGAAAUAAAGAAGCUAAUAUAUACUUGAAACAACAUAAUUUCUGUUUAAUCAAAUGACUGAAGAAAAUAGAAAUAAACUCAAAUACUGGUUUUGAACAUUUCUUUUAAAUUCAAAUUAUUUUGGAGAAAAACUAUUUCACUGGCUUUCACUGGUCCUGUAACUUUUUCUUACUUCAUGUUCAAGUCAACCUCCCAACUUCCCUUUUUUUUUGUCCCACAUGGCAAAACAUUGUUUUAGAGUUUAUAUAUAUUUUUCCAUGUGUCUGUUUCGCAUGAUCUUUCCUGGUUAGAGGACACCCUCCAAUUCCAUAGUCAUUAACAGUUAGGAACAUCUUCAACAGAAAGGUUCAGCAUGCACCUGUGGAUUAUUUUUCUCUAGAGCGUCACUGAAGAUAGCAGCCUCAAGAUGGAAGCCCACUUAUGAGAAAUUCCUGUCUCGAGAUACUAGUCAGUGUCAGUACAAUUCCCCCACCCACGUCUUGUAGAUGGUCUUUCACCUUUAGGGUCUGUUACAAGAUCACAUCCUUUCCAUCAGUUUCAACAAAAGAAGAGCGAUCAGUGUGCUCCUGCCCAGGUAUCUGGGCGAGUUCUUCCAUCUUUUUGUGAAGAAUGUCGGGUAUGUUAACAUUUGACUAAACACAUGGUUAACUGUUUUUCUUUACUGCAUCUUAGUGGUAUGUAACAAACAGCAGUGCCAUGCAGAGGAUGCUGGCUGAAGAAGAAUGAUCAAAGAGGACAUUUGUUACAAGACAGCAAUAUUCUCAUUUGGCGUAAAAUUCUGUUUCUCAUCAGAAACUGGACCUCCUGCAUUUUACCACAGUGCAACCGCAUUUGCCAGAUACAUCAUGCAAAUAGAUGGGUACAAGAAACAACUUCCUCUUGUAAAAUUUUAUGUUCCUACCCAAUUCUUCCUGUCUACAAAAAGAUACCAUGAAAGUAGUAUUUUUUUCCUUGGAUAUUUUCCUGAGGCCAAAUGGAUCAGGACAUGCUCAGUUUGUGGAGCACUGAUAACGGUGUGACGUGAUGUGUGCAUGAGCAAUUGACUGAUCUUUUGCUUCCUGGGAGGAGCAGCUGUGGUAGCACUUCCCUGUGAACAAGAAGAUGGAGGAGAGAGAAGAGCAAGAAGAAUCAAAAGUCAUCAUUAGCUUUACUAGUUGCAGAACCCAAGAGUUAUGUUUUUGCCUUUUAAUAAGCACAGACAUUGUGCAUAGUGACUUUGAAAUCAGUUCUGCUUACUCUCUACCACAGGCACAACAAUAGAACAUGCAGGCUUCUGUGGUUGGAGUGAAUUAGGCUAAAUGUGAACUCACUGGGGUGACAGACUGAAUCCCAGCCAGUUUCCUGCACAACGGGCUUUUCAGAUAUUUUUGUUUGCAUUUAGACUUCUUGUAAUGUGUAACACAUUCAUUUGGAUGUGAGAGAAUGGUCUUGUGGUUUAAGCUCUGGACUCAAAUUCAAAAAAUGUAGGUUGGAUGCUGACUAGUUGUGUGCUUAUGGGUUAGCAAUACCGUCCGUCCAUGUUUUAUAGUCAAGGAACUGUGGCAAAAUCCUGUCUUAACUAUUAGAGUCUAAACACUGGUGGCCUAUGUGUUUUUUUGUUUUGCCUUUUUUUUUGUCCUUUUGUACAGCUCCUACUUCAAUAGACUCUGGAUCUCUGCUUGCUAAUAAAUAAUAAAUAAUUUGCAGACAAGGGUUGAAAGCGCUUUGUCACUGCUGGUGCGCGCAGGUCUGGGGAUAAGUGUUGUGAAGUUAGUACAGCUGUCAUACCACAGAUUCACAGAACACUGUUUACAAAAGACAUGGGAAACCAGCGUAUUCAAAUAUGGUUCAAAACUUCCAAGUGGAACCUGGUUUAGCCUUCUGGUCCUGCCAAGCAGGGCUGGAAAGCAGACGAGAACAGUCUUUCAUGAGAUUUUCCUAUUCUGGUCAGGCCAGAAAUUUUGCAAGAGCAGCCUUUCUCAUGGUAUUUUGGCACUUCUUCUUCUGGUCUUGCCUGAAGCCUGGAGGCAGAGCCAUGUGAAAACACUAACGGAAAAAGCAACUUCUCUCAAUUCAUUUGAUCUGGAAGAUUCAUGUUCUUUCUCAUAAUUUAUCUAUGCCCAGCUGCUAUUUGCAGGUCCUAGUGUUUUUUAACUCAUGCCUCCUUCCUUUGCUGCUGUAAGCCUGCAGACUCACUCAGUUUAAUCAUUCUUCAUCAAAAUUACAGGAAGAAACUGAAAGAGUACAAUGAAAUCUCAAUCUUGAGAGAUUAAUUUUAAUAAAGGGGGAAAAUGUGCUGUCCAUAAAGCCAACACUGAAACUACCAUAACACCACCAUCCUCUUUUUCCCAGAAGUUCCCCACAAUGCUAGAACAGAAUGUCUGACUUGAGCGUGGACUUCAUGUAGCCACUGUAAUCAGUACCGAGACUACAAGAGCUAGUAUCAUGUACACAGCAGAUCUUCCAAACAGAAGUAAUUUACAUAGUUUUCCUAUCCAUGUUAUUAUCCAGAGGGUAAAUUCACUGGGGCAGGGACUCCCUCCAUCCAUGUGUUUCUACAAAGCCUAGCAUGAUAGGUAGCUUCUCACAAAUAGUGAACAAAAAUGUUAACAGACCUUUCUCCUUUGCAGCUUUUACUUUCCAUGUACUGCAGAGAGUCACAGAACACACAAAGGUUAAUAGGAAAGGGUCUCAAACCCUCUUGCCGAGAAGCUUUGCUUCUGCACAAAGGAACAAGGAGUCUCACUGCAUUUUCCCUCUGACAAAUGAGAAGAUCCUUACUAUGGUCAGCAAGCAGAAAAAAAACAUUAAGUCCCCACUUCCCCUCCCCCAGUUUUUCUUAGGACACUGUUUGCAUAGACUUCUUAUCUAACCUGCUUGGGGCUAUUUGCAGCAUUACUCUAAAUACAGCGACAUUUGUGCCAGCAUGCCUGCCUGAUUGCUCUCUCACCCCGUCUAUCUGCAACCACUUGUUCAGAGCAAUCAUCUGCCAACAAACAAAAGUUGAAGUUUGGGGGAUUUAUAGGAAGAAGCCUUGUGGUUUUUUUCUUUUUUGUUGUUUUUCGUUUUGUUUUGGUUUUCCUGGAGUUGGGAGUAGAAGGGGAUAGGAGAUGAAGGGACUGAGCCUUUCAGUCUUUCCUCAGGGUAGCACAGAGCGUUGUCCUCACCUAAUCAUUCUCGCCCAAGAACACAUGUAUGCAUAUUAGGACCUAUCGCAUCUGUUCUCGGACUGCAUUCUGGAGACAGGUGAUAACCAUACUCCGGACCACUGAAAUUUCAUUUAGACUGCAAUUUAUUUCUUGCUUUAACUACAGCUGUCUCUCAGAUGAUAAAAACAGGCUCCUGUGUUGUUGCUCCUCUGCUUGUUUUGAUUAAAAUAAGAUGCACAGCUAGAUCCUGUUCUGAUCCACAUGAUCCAGAAGAAGGGAAAGGUGAAACAAAGUUUUCUUUCUAGCAAAAUUCUGGGGAAAUGGAAGAGAAAAUGAACAAGAAAUAGGUACUUCCCAAACCUGCAAGCCUUUUUAUAGCCUUACCUAGAGUUUGCAAAUUGCAGUGGGCAGACCACUAUACCGCAGUUGUCUCAGUGCCUGUUUGUUAAAUACGUGUUAAUAGAAGAAAGGUACGUGCCGUGAUAAAACCAACAGCCCAAGAGGAAGUCAGCAUUAGAUCCUUCCUCGUCCCUGUGACACGCAUGAUACAGCACCGUGUAGUUCUGUUGUCUGUGUACCAAGGGAGGAGUUAAGGACCAUAAUCACGUCUGGCAUCAGUGUGGGCAGCAGCUACCGCACAACAGCGAUCACCAUGUGUGCUUCAGGUGGACUCACCAGACCUUGAGGAAAUAUCUUUGAAAGAAGACAUCAAAACUAAGAUUUUGGGUGACCUUUAGUUUCAGUAAUGAUACUGUACUUUGUCUCAAGUAUUUCUAGCUAGUACAGGCCUUACAGGCUAGUACUAGGCACUACCAUCUUGUGGAGGUGAUUGGACCAGAGCACGAUGGCACCAGCAAUCAGAAUUCAGGCAAGAGCACGAGGCCAGCUAUGGAGGAUUAAGUAAUCUUACAGUUACGUGCCUCAAACUUGAGUAGUGACCUAAUCAACAGUUUGUUGUCAUGGAUCAUUAGGUGCUGACUGCGGAAGGAGCACCAGAGAUGACCGUUUUCAGUCACAGGAGUGAGAAUAGCCAUCCAGACACAGCUGAUUUAAUUGGAUCAGAUGAAAUAUUAGUGACUGCAGAAGUCUGUAUUUGAACCAGAUUACAGCUAACCUUCCAGUGAGCUCUGACCAAGUAUGGAUACUUGGCUUUUUCUCAUCUUGUUGCAUGUUUAUAGACCUUUGCUAUGUUGAAUUCCAGAGGGACAGGAAACAGACACGCUGAGUACUACAGGAACAGUUACUGUCAAGUUAUCCCAUACAACCAAAGCACAGGUGAUACUAAAAGGUUAAAGGAAUCUUUCAUUUAGAUAUAUCCAAGUCACUUUAGCAGGCCCAGAAAUUUUUGAUAGCAAUCUAAGCCUGGGAAUGUUUAUCUGAACCUAGCCUUUGAACCUCCACAAAUUCCACCCAUUAUCAAAUUGGGUUAGAAAAGAGAAAUAAUGUAACCCAGAUUAAAGUGGAGACUACCAGGUUAAUUAUGAGCCCUGGAUGGGCUGAAACAGAUCAAAUUCCUGGGAUUACAUGGAAGGGAGUUAUAUUAAAUGCCCAGAGCCUAACAAGGUUAGGGUACACAACAAAAACAGGGUGAGGAAUGAAAAAAAACACAUCAAUGCACACACAAAAAGCCAGAGUGUUGAUUCUAUACCCUACACAUCUUUGUAACUAGUUGUCUUUGAUCAUGAAGCACCUGUUGUCCUUUAGUGCUGAAUGUGCAAUAUUGAAAAGAGCAGAACACUUUAUCUUAAAUUAUUUACUUAUGGUCUUUAUGAAAGCAUUUCAUAGUUUGGCUGCCUGGAUUGCUUUCCGCCUUGAUCUGGCACAGCUUUAUCUCACAGCAAAAGGUGCUAAAUCAUCAAGUGUGCUCAGGCACAUCUGUGAUGUCACACCACAUGCAGGAAUGAUGUAUUUAUUAUGUGAAGUGGUGUGUAUCUGUCCUAGUAGGUCAUUCAUGUCAUUGUCUUGAUCAGUGACACACUUUUUUUUUCCUUUACAUGUGCACUGUUAAGUUUUGAUUUACUUUGACAGCACAGACAGCUUUGGCAAGGACUCAAUUUUGAAAGUGAGCAGUUGCACGCACCUAACUGGACAAGUGAGCUGAUCAAAACCAGGAGAUAACAGAGUAUAUUUAUAGGAAGAUACAUUUUUGGAUUCCUAUGGGAAAGGUCCGUUUCCUAGUCAGAGAAGGUGAGAUAGGCUGUGCAUGCCUACUACAGCUUUGGAAACAAACUUUCCUUUUACUAUUUUUCUUUACAUUCUCAGUGAAAGCAACUUGCAGAUAAAUCCGUGUUACUUGUCUCAGCUCUAAUGCUCUAUUAGGCUUCAUAUUAAUAUUUCUUUGUUGUUGUUGUUCCAAAGUCUCCAGGACAAAUUCUCUCCUGGCUUAGCUCCACCGAAUGCAAUGAAGCUACAUCAGAAUGGAUUUAGUCCUACAGUUUAUCUUUUUUUUUCUCUGCAGUGCUGCUGUUGUGCUUGGCUAAGUACGUGACCAGCAUAUAAAGACCUCAAGCUUACAUUAGAAACAAGUCACUAGAGAAACCAAGAAAUCUCUCUGAGCUAUCAAAUGUCUUUUCAUAGGGUGUAAACGACCGCACAGUUCAUUUCCUUUCUUUUCAAUAUCUUCUAGCAGAAAGACAGUGCUAACUGUCAUGUAAACGUCAAGUUUUACAAAAGAUUUCCCAAAAGUAAGUAAAACACUAGCUAGUGUAGCUUAGUUCACUUAUCCCAUUGUUUAUCCACAAACCUGAAAUUCCCAUUAUGGAAUUACAAACAAACAAUUACAAGCACAACUUUCAAACAACCCCAAAAAAGGCUCUUUUCAGGGGACAUAAUCUGUUUCAACAUUCCCGCGUUCCACAUUAAUGGUUCAGCUGGUACAACAGCUUCCAGGGUUUAUUGCUGAUCUGCUGUGCAGCAGACCCCCGGCCGACCUGCCAGAGAACGCCUCCUAGGCCAUCUAGGAUAGGGCGUUCAUCCACUAACGCAGGAUUUUCCCUCUCGUGAUGUCCUGUUUUAAAUGAGUCUGUCACGAAGCUUCCAUGCUCAACACUGAGGUCAAUUCCACAGUCUAAUUACUGGUUUGCCUCUCUCACUAUUAUUUCUUUUUAAGGUUGAAAGAGAAAUGCUUCUGUAGCCAUAGGCACAGCAGCCGCCAGAAAGAGAUGGAAAAUUGUCUUUCACAGAGAGAAAACUUUCUGGGUAUAGAAGUAUAGAGCCCUUUAAUACUGCAAGAUUUACAUUCAAGGAAAAAAAAAAAAAAAAAAAAGGAAAUAAAACUGUGUAAUCACUAGUUACUAAAAGAGCAUGGAGUAUCUUAUCAGGCAGGCUAGUAACAAAUCAGCUUAACCUCCCAGAAGCAUGUAUGUGGAUAUCAGUCUACCAAAUUAUUUAAAAAACACAGUGGAGGAGAAGAAACAUUUCCAUGGUUUUGGCCACAUUGUGAAUUUGAUAGAGAGCAUUGCUCUGUUAGCACAGAAAAAUCUGAAGAUGACCAUGAUGGGAGCACCAGGAGAGCAGUGCUCCUCCUCACGUGGUGUGCCAUGCUGGUGAGCUCCUUCCCUAAGAUGAUGGAGCGACAACGCAGGGGCUUACAGCUAGACGUUUGCUAAGCAGAGCUCUUGGAGAACGACAUUACUGUGACUAUCCUAAAUGCUCUCGGUAGUCCUGAAUUAACAGUUCCUUUUAUGUUGCCACAUAGACCUAAAUCUCACCCAAUUCUCACUUGGGGAUCAUUUUCCCAAGUUUGUUUUGUUACUUUAAAAAAAAUACUUUUUUCUUGUAUCUUAAUCUUUAUUAGCACAGGCAGAAAAGAAAUCCUGAGAUUUCAGCAACAGAUCUUGCAGUAAAUCUCUUCAUCAAACUGGAUUCCCAUGCUCUGCAAGCCUAAUUGCCAGCAUUUUGGAAACUCAGUGCAGCACUCUCAGGCCAGCUCAUCCAGUAAGGCAUUCUGCUUUGAUGACCUUGGGGAGCUAUUGCUUGUUUUUAAAUGUCAGCUACCACAUUCCCAAAUUAGUCAUCAAUAAUUUAUAUUCCUAGCUGCAAAAACACCUUUUUCCACAACACUUCAUUGCGAGUGUUUUUUAUCGUUUGCUGGAUUCUUAGCUUGAAAGAAGAAAACCAAACCUAAUGUUUUACUGACACUCGUGGAGCUUUCCCACCCUGCUGGGGAAGCCUAAACACAAGCAGAUUGGAGCAGAACAGGAACAAAGAAGCCGUGCUGGACGAACUUGCUCUAAAAACACAGCUGAGCAUGCCGAGCUCCGAACGCACCAGAGACGCAGACAAUAACAAAAAGUGAGGAUGGAAGCUCUUGCUGUGAAACCUCUUGUCCCUGUCCGUCUCUAUGAACACAUUCAGCCCAGAAGGGUUUCAGUGAAGGCCAGCGGCUCAGAGGUACAGCCAGGGCAUGCAGCUGGGUAUAAAGCCUUUUGUGUUCGCAAGGGCCAGGCUCCUGCCCAGGGAGCCAUGUCUGCUUGCUCUCCCAGGCUGGGGUGCUGCCUGCUGUGCCUCACUGGGGCCCCUGCCUCUACGGGCAUUUCUUGGUACAGUCAGUAUAAGCAUUUUUUAACUAUUACUUACAAAAUGGCAGCAGCUUCCCCAAGGCCAUAUCUUUGUUUCUCUGUACAAUGCCGUGAUUGUGUAAAUUGUCUUGCGUAAGCACAUCAACCCACUCUGGAAUUCAUUUUUCCCCCCUUACGGCCUUUCAUUGUUGUUCUUUUAUGGUGGGAUUUGUUCUUUUGCCAUCUUGUCACAAAUCCACUCCUGUGGCUAUGUCACUUUUAAGGAACAGCACGGUUAAGCCUGGCCUUGCAACUUGCCAGAGGUCCAGGGAGUGGCUACUUGUGCUGAGGGCGCUGCUGCCACCAAACCGGGCUGGCUGGUGGCAUUGUCACACAAAACGGUAGAGCUCCCAAAAACAUGAAGCCCAUAGUAGCUACUCAUAAGUCUUACGUCUUAGUCCUUUCCUGCAUAUAGCUCAAUGUACUCUCUCCUAAAUCUAGUAACGUGACUCGUGACACCAGGAAGCUGAGGAGUGAGAGAGAACUUCCCUCUUAGCGUGACCGGGCAAAGCAAGCCCCUAAGUCCCAAAUGCAGAGAACCCAGCCAGCGACACACCAGUGACCGUGAGACAAACAGAAUUUGGGAGUAACUGAGGACUUGUACAACACUCAGUUUAAGGGACUACCUGGCUGCCAUUAAUCCACAGCAGCUCAUUCUUCAGUACAGCAUAGCCACGUCUUUUUUCAGUCUGUAUGCAGAAUGAACCACAAGUGAAACCAAGCUCUGAGAGGAACUUCAAUUUUUGAUGCCUAGACUGUGGCUUGGCUCUCUGGAGCUUCUUCAUUUCUACCUGUCCACACCUUAGCUGCAUAUCCUCCUUUAAAGACUCUACUAGUAGCAUACGAGCUCUGUCUCUGGAUUCCUACAUGCAAUGAUCCAUUCCUAGGGAACAUAUAAGUAAAGACAGGUAUUGUUGAUUUGCCAGCAAGGAUGUAAUCUAGACCUCUGUAUCGCAAAUGCUUUGAUUCAUCUUAAAAAAGAAGACCCACAGAGGUUAAUUCUUACCACUCGUACAAAGGUAGCCUUGUACUCCACUGAAUGACCAGUAAGGAAUAAUCUAAAGCCUGUCUGAAGGCAGUGGAAAGCCCAGUGGCUUUCUGCAAGCUUUGAAACCAGCCUGGAGGGAUCAGACAUCCUGAACAGAUAUAAUUUUUACAUAGGUAUUCUUCAUAACACAAUCAGUCUUUGAUGGAUAGCAUUUCAGGAGUAAAAACACUGUGUAAAUACUCUAAGCUACAUAAAAUAAUUGUCUCCUAUUAAUCGUGUUUGCUCUUGUAAAUCUCUGUUUAGCCACAUUAAAAAAGAAUUAUAUCCUCAAUGCUUGAAUGCUAUAAAAGUCCAGAUCAGACACCACAGACAAACCGCAGAGCUUAGUGAAAGGAAUUAUUUUCUUAUAAAGAAAAGUACAUUACCUUCAAUUUUUGCAAAUUUAGAAAGAAUUUGCCUCGAUGAUAAGUUAUGUGAUGUUAUCUAACAACUUUACUAGCAGGAUGAUACUAGAUGAAUAUAGGGUUAUGCUGUAGUUGAGGAAUUAAGGAACUCGAUGUGGGUUAAAAGUAAUUUCCGUUUCUUGGAGCAACUUUGAUGUCACUCCUCAGUUUGACACAACAAUUAGGAUAAGGCCCAAACACUGCAAAUAAAGUGGAAGCUGCCUUUAUAAUGCUUACUGUCCAGGUCUGCCUAGCUGCCUGUUUUCCUCCACAAAUAUACAGAAAACUGCUUGCAUUCAUUUCUGAUGAGCUGAAAGAGCAAAAAUCUGCAUUUCAUAAAAAUGCUUAUAGAAAGCUGCUGGCAUUGGUGAUUCAGAAUGAAAUACCCUUUCACCAGCACAGUGGAGAAGAACUGUACCAGCUUUUUCUCUUGACAUGUGUCAGCCUCAUUGCUUGGGUAUUAAUAUCAGAACUAAAUGGUUUCAAUUCAGAAUUGGAUCUGAAGUCUCAGCUGAGGACAUGUUUUACGGACUAAGGCAUCAUUAACGAACCCUGGCAUAUGCUUCUGAGGCUGUGUUUGGCACGGCCAUACACGAGACUUGAGUUCAGUCUGCAGCUAAAAUGCUUCAUGUUGUUUGCUGCCAUUAAUAUUAUUCAUGUUCAUAUUGUUUGUGUGUCCCAACACACCCUCUCAUUGCAUUUCAAAGAAAACUGAAGGGAGAACUAUCAUGCUAGUUGCUAGAUAAAGUUGGCAAGGGCCUGCCUCUACUCCUCCCUGGUGUGGUUCCUCUGCUAGUACCAGUGCAUGUUCUCAUCAUCAAGGCUGGGCUUUUCUGCUGACAGUGACAAGAGGGCUGUGCUGGUUGAAGACAUUCAGGAUCAUUUUUAUUUCUCUGCAUUUUUUUUCUGAAGCUUAGCUUAGCAAACGAGAAAGAUUUAUAUCAUGUUAGAAAAGAAAUAUACUCAAACAAUUAAAAUGGGAAAUAGCCCAUUUGAAAAUGACCUGAUUGGUCAUACUGCUAAUACUACGAUUUUGGGUAGCCAGGAAAUUUUAAUUCUACGUUGGUUUUAGCUACAGCAAAAGUUGUUGCCUGUGCUGUUCAUCAUGAUCCAAGCAAGUGAUGGUGGGAACAAGUGCAGAUGCAGAACCAAAAUACAGAGGAAGGGGAAGAUUAGUCCCUGCUUUUUCUAUUCUCUUUGAGAAAAUAUGGAACACACCUAUUUAGCAUGAGUAAAUCUCAAUAGAGCACAUGCAGAUGGACAAACUUUCCUACUUUAAAGAUCAAGCAUAUGUCAAGAGAGACAGAAAGAAAAGAUCACCAGAAAGGUACAAGUUCACUUCUGCAUGCAGAUCAUUGCGCAAUGGGCAAUUAGACCCUGGGUCUCUAAUUAUACUAACUUUCAGUGUACUAAAAACAAUGAAAUAAAUAGAUGUACAGCUUUAUCCUGCGGCAGUAGUUUCCUCCCUGCCAGCCCAGGCACGUCAUGCAGAGCUGGCACAGCCAGAAGCCAGUGGUUGGUAUUGGUUAGCAAUUAGCUAAGUCAUACAUGGACGAAGAUUGCUUAGUGUCCCCUGCUCCUUUCACAAGUUUCAUUCAGUAACCUUCAUGCCAGCUUUUCUCCAGCAUCUGUGUUGGCAAAACUAACAGACUCAAGAGGAGCUCAGGGCUGGACUAAAGGAGACUCCAAUUGUCCUGAGAACUUUUCCUGAAGACAAAUCUUUGCCUGGCCAGAGUGCAAAGAAGACUAUGGGAAAAAUAUAUAUAGCACACGGGAGGCCAGGAAGACCUGGCACGUAGCAGUGUCCUACAGUCUAUUGCUGCCAUAACUUGGAGAACUGCCUACUUAGAGGGGCUAAUAAGGUCACUUCGAGAUCAUGGUCUAAAAGCUUUUUUCCAUCUUUCUCCUCCUGAGCAUAAACUUCCUUUCAAUAACAUUUCAUCUUCCAAAAGAAACAGUCAGAACCUCCAGGUUUGAAGGAAUAUAUCAUACAGAAGGUCUACAGCCCGAACAGAAAAUGAAGAAUGAGUUGUUUGUGGUUUUUUGUUUGUUUGUUUUUUAAGCGAUUAACUUGAUACCAAUAAACCUUUAAUUAUUAGCUUGGGGUCACAAAGCCCGAGAUGCAUGGUAGGGCCCCACCACAGCACAGGGCUUUCUGCCUGAGAACCAAAGCACUAACCUUCCUCACAGAUGCUCAGUGACACGCAGAGGAGUAAGGCGCACACCGCGAAGCCAACGCCUCCAGUCCCAGGCAGGCAGCCCUUCCGGGCCUAUUCCCUGACCGCAGAGUUUUUGCCCCAGGAUGUUCUCCCCAUCUGCACACUUCAGUAUAAAAACAUUACUUGAAAUGAAAAUCACAGAAGCUCCUGUUCUUUGAAAAUCACAUCUGAUACCUGCCUACUGGCAAAACGCAUCAAAUGCCGGCAGGGGAGAGGGGGAACACAAAGCAGAGAAUGCAAACUUGCACAGAGCUCAACAGCAGAACUGUUGUUGUUGUUGGCCUGCCUAUUGUGGCUUUAAAUCACAAAUUACUUUAAAUUGUAAAAACCUUGAUAGCGAGCCCUCGAGAAGGAUCCCCAGAAUGGCAGUAAAUAAAGAGCAUCCUGUCCCUUUUCAGGCCACGAUGUGGGGGGUGAUACUAAACCCUAGCUUGGCAAGCACUGCGUGUCAGAGCUGAUGAGUUGAAAGGAUGUGCGUAUACACAGGGACCCGAACAAAGACCUUCUAGUACACAGAAAAAUUACUGCAGUAAUUACCUUAGAGGUUGAGCAGUGCAACACAUUUGUUCUCCUAACUUUGGACUUGUCCUCCAGCAUAUUUUGUCCACCCUUUACAAAGGAUCCUGUUACCCUGGAGCUGGCAGGUGGCUCUGCAGGGAUCCUGGGGGCUCGCCUCCCAGGGAAAGCUAAGCUAGCUCACCAAGUGCUUCCUUGUCAGACCUCUUGCCACUCUGAAAAGAGGACAGAUCUGUCUUUCUGCUUUGCCCCGUGUCUGGACCCACGGCCGGGAGUCCCACCUGCUCCUGCAGCUCAUGUCCCCUGAAACCAGACCCCGUCCAGCAGCUGCACAAACCAUCAGGGGCAGGCCUGCAGCGGGGCGUCGAGCAGUUGCCAGUGCAUGGCCACGGUGCUCCCUCCUCCCGCGUCCGCCUCCAUCGUCCCCAAAAGUAAACACCGGCAGCCCCCGCGGUGAACUCGAUUGCAAAACCACAUGGCACUGAACUUUAUCUCUGCGCUGAGCAGGCUGCACAAAGGAGAGCGGCUCUGGUCUGGAUUUUUCUGCUGCCAGCGAGAGAAUUCUUUCCAUAGCUCGUGUAUCCUCGCUAGGAAAGGAAGCGUGCUUUCAAACACGCAGAUGAACGUGAUGUUGUAAGGCAGCUCAUUACCUCACUUACGCAGGGCCAAGUCAGGUCUAAAAAUGCUCAUUUACAUGCAGUUGGCUCCAUCAACAUUUAUCUCAUGUCCGAUGGUACAACUUCAGACAUCCUUUACCUUCCCCCCUUGAAGCUCUCAGUGUAAAAAAGCAAAAAAGCUGUGCAAAAAAAGCAAGCCAGUCAAGUUGCAAAGCUCAGUUGCAGAUCAUAGUGACUUCCUUGUGACUAGAUAAUGUAAAUGCAUUUUGGUUCACCUAAUUAUAACAGCAUGUAGAUCUUUUUUCAAGCUGGUAUUUCCAAAACUGGCAAAAGUUACCACAUCACAAAGGAGGAAACCACUCCCUUGGUGAAGAGAUGGUGGUACAACAUUAAAUCGGGGGAAAAAAAUCCUCAAAAAGCCAACAUAUUCAUUGAAGCUAUCCAUAUGCCGAACUGGUGGUCCAGGGAUGUGAACAGUAAUGCUCUACAGAUGCCUUGCAAUCCAAGUCAAGUUUAAAGGAAUUCUUAGUCUCACCCACACAAGAGAUUCUGGGUUAGAGCCAGCUCCAGAAAACAGCGCUCCACAAUGCUUCUCCCAUAUAACAGAGACCUCUUUUGGUUGUCUCUUUUAUGAUGAUGAUUCUAGCUGCCAGAUAAAGGAUUGGGACCCAGCUCCCCAUGCUGAGAGCAAGUUUAUCCUUCUCCCUUGCUUUCCUACUGAUAUUUUGGUUGGACUCAUUUAUCUUUUGUGCCAUGACCUGAAGGAAGGAUACUGUUUUGAAAUUUUUUAUAACCAUCUGCAAGCAUUGAAUGUCCACUCAACUUAUUUUACAUGUUCUCGCAGAAUAGGAACAGCAGCCCCCACCUUAAUUUAAAUUUUCUAUCUCACAGGUCUCAAUAUUUACAGGCUAAACCACUGUUUUGGUUGAAACUGAACUUUCAGGACAGAUUUGGGCGUUACUACUUGUGCCUUUUCUUUCCUAUCUGUCUGGAGGUAUGGAUACAUGCCUCUGCAUUGCCAGGCUCUAGAAGUAAAGCUAACGUUCGUGUGUCAAGGGGAAGAACCUGAGCGGAAGAAGACGACUCUUACUGGGUUUAGGCCUGAAAAUUUAUUAAAAGCAGGAGAAGAACCAGCUUCAGGAGGGUGGGUAGUUUAACAGAGUUAACCCCUGGUCGAAGCACACACUAAAUCUCAGUGUAGCUUACAAGGUCUCAGAUUUCAGAGCCUUGGAAGAUUAGCAGGCUAAGCAGCGGUGAGAUGUACUGUUCACAGCCCGUUCUUUGGGCCCUCAGGAGAGAAAUUGCAGUUUAGUUUUGUUUUUAUAGCAGAUUUCUAGCCUUUUUGCAUUGGUUUGAAGGUAAAGGUAUGUAAAAGUAUAGCGAAGGUAAAUUGAACAUGGAUUUUUUAUUUUUAUUUUUUGUAGCAGGAGGGAAAUGGGAGCUGGUGCCCAACCUGCCGUGGGUGCACACAGACACGUAAAAUGGCUGAAUGAAAUCUGAGGUGACUCGCUAUUUCAGUGUACUUUGUAGGCCGUGUUCCAAAAUGCCAGCUGUUGUAACGCGUGUAACUCUCCUGUAGCUGCAAUCAACCAGUUGCCGCUAACUACUUGAAAUUACUGUCGCUGCCUUCACACCAGCGAUCUUCUACCUCUGUGCAUCUUUGCUCUCUCUUAUUUCCUCUUCUGGGGGGCAUUUCACUAUUGGGACUGGGGAGGCAUUAGAUACCCCAGGCCUUUCCACUCCCCUAAAAUCCAGAAGCUUCUCAGGAACAUCUGCUCCUGCCUCCAUAAGCUUUCAUACCAGUUCCAGGGAAACUGCUUUACCCCUCCCCAUCACCUAAAGAGAGAAGACAAAGCAAAACAGAUUUCCUCUCUUUCUUCCCACAGCAUGAAAAAAGCACUAACUGGGUUGGAUAAUUUUUUUAGGUCUCCCUUGUGCAAAGAUACCUAACUGAAUCAUCCUUAGCAGCUGCACAGCCCUGACUUAUGUCAGUGGGGUGGCUGGCAUCUUGGGCUAAAAAUGCGUCUUCACAUUAAUAUUUUUUCUCUGUUUCCAUUAUGUAGCUUCUCUCAGUUAGAAAUAUUCCAGCUGAAUAUAGAUUUGUUGGAUAUAUUCCAACAGCAGAACACACUGCUCCUGCAGCCAAGUUAAAAACCUGGUUAGUACAGGGACUGUGUGCUUCCAACACAUGGUUUUCCCCAGCUUCUAAUGUAUCAUUUAAAAAAAAUCAGCUCUUUCUGCAACAGAAUCAGAUGCUGGAGGCUACAGCAAAUUCUAGCAAGUGGACAGAAAUUUUCCUCCCUAAUUUUGUUUCCCUCGGGGAGUUGUGGUUUCCACGUAAACACUUCCAUGAGCAGACCCUUUGAGACACGCCUGGAAGAAUAUAUGUUCUGCCUAACACACAUCCACCAUAUCUUAGCAGCUAAGAAAAAUAGCUCUGCGGUCUCACUGCACUUCACCGCUAUCACCUCAGCCUGGCUGAGCUGCAAGUUACAGAACAGAACAAAGUAGCGUAGGUAUGCUGAGAGAAAGCAGUGCCUGGUACUCUCACUGUUGUUUCUGGGUUUGGUCCGUCUUCUGUGCUACAUUUCUAGCUUCAGAAAAUAGUAUUGAAACCCAUGAAAUACGGUAAAUAAGGACAGGGAUAAUGUAACCUAAUUUUCGUUCACUACUCAUUGUAGCGUGGAGUAGCAAGAGGCACCAGGCUGUGACACUAAGUCCAGCCCAUUUCAGACAUUUGUUCUAAAAUCUAGAUCAUCAUUUCAAAAUACUCAAAGGACUUGGUUCCUCACUGUUCUUCUGUAGUGUCUGAAAUACACUGCUUUACCAUGGAAGAUCCCUUUUGAUGUCUACGCACCUCCCAUAAGCCAAGAGCAAUAUAGUUAGGCCCAUGGAGGACAAGAGGAAAAAUGUAGAUGUAAGUUAUUCUUGGAAAUAAGUUGGAUCUCCAGCUCCAGACCAGAGAAUCUUUGAACCUGCCUGAGCAAGCUGUUCAGUUUCUGAGCCCAGCCAAUCUCUGGAUUUGCAGUUAUAAAAGGGACAGAAUCCAAACCAUGGACGUGGAUGCUUAUAAGCUCUCCUGCAUUCAGUAUUUCUGGAUUCAUUUUUUUUCUUUUCUUUUCAUUUUUUUUUAAUUUUACCCUGAGCCCACUGCUCAUUUUUUAUGGAAAACAUCUCUGAAUCUUUUGGGUUGGGGUUUUUCCUCACAUGCACUCAUGUAUAAUGUCAGCAUCCUAUUAAUCUUAAUUAUCGAGUAACUAAAUAAGUAUUACAUAAUACUUAAUAAGCAAAGCCCUGAAUCAUGACUUUGGAGCAGAGCACCCAGAGACUUCUUCCACAACUUCCAAAUGCAGGCUCCAGAAGAAAGGCAGCCCUGGGAUUUACAAUGACAGGAUGUUUGUCUUUAAGGUGUGCACCUCCAGUAAGCAGGUUCUGAAUUCAUCUUGUGCAUAAUCAUUGACGUUCUUCCCUUUGAGCAAAAUAAUAAUUCUCAAUCCCAGUGGAACAAAGAGAGAGGCAAACCAAGCAGAAGAGUAUGUGUGGAAAAGCUCGCAGUGUGGUCACUUGGUGACACAGGGACUGCGGAACAGAAACCGAAGCUUAGCGUGAGCUGCCCAACAGGACGGGACAGAAAAGCUUCGCAUCCAAGGGGUGAAAUUCCAGAGGAGUUGGGUUCUUGUUUGUUUUGUUUUCUUUUCUUCUAGCUAAACAUCUGGCUGGGAAAGUCUGCUUUCCCAGGGAAACGUAAGCCCUGAUGUAGGUAAAAUGGCCUUUUCUUUCUCCUGUAGGUCUCUGCUUUGUGGCUUUCUGGAAACGCAGAUUUCUGAGCAGGAGGUUGUGCUGGUAACUGCACAGGGCAGAAUUUCCAAAGGAAAAUUUGCCUACAGACAUUUUUAAAUUUGGUAACAAGGUGGUUUGUGGCCCUUUUUUCCUUAGACAACAGGACUGAAAAACAGAUCCCAAUCCAAAUCCUGUAGCUCUUAGUUCUUGGACAACUGAACACUCCUCAUUCCCCCCAGAGCCUCCAGGAGAUGCUGGGUCUCAGGAUGGUGCUACCUGGAAUAAACUUCCUGCACUUUGCUACAAUGUACAGAGGAACCUUAGGGAACCGGCGGGCACUCACGUCCCACUGUUUCUCAUCACAACAGACGUCUUGCUUUCAGCUUGCAAUUUUCCAGGUUUAUAGGCAUGCUACAUCUGUGUUUUAUUCCCUGUGUUCAAGCAACACAACUCCCAUUUCUUGCACUGCCUUAAUAUUUACUGGGGAGCAAAAUGGUACGUGUGCUUUUGCAGUUGCUGCUGAUUUUAUAUCUGAACCUUGUAGUUCCAAAGAGCAUUACAAUAAUCUACCGAGCUUUAAAGAAGCAGGGUAGAUUGGGACGUUAACACACCAAUUGGCCCCUUAUCAGUAAUCUAGGUCUUUUCUCUAGAUGCAUAUCAGUAAAGACCUAGCUAAACAGCCAUAAACUUCUACUUUCAAGCAGUGCAUGCAUCCUGCUGUGUAACAACCCUUUUGAUACUAAAGAUAUUUCCUGUCAUGUUUUCUCUGCUGCCAAGCACUGAUUGUUGACAUAAGUGUUUCAUUUAAUAAAUAAUACCAGUGUGUACGAGCGUGAGGGGAUGAUUCAGCAGUGUCAGGGGCCACGUGGCAGCAGUCCUAACAGGAAGACAAAAGUGAUUGCUUCAGAGCAAAUAAAUCAGGCCCCAAGUCUAGAAGACUUAGAGAAACAUCAUUUUUGCACUACACUGCCCUGCCUUGGGGUCACCUUAAUAAUGACAACGUAUCCAUAGGAACCAAUUUGUCGGGACAGGCAUUUCCAAGUCUGUCUUUUACCUGGAGACAUACAAUGCCUGAAAUCCAGAAUAAGCCCAGAGCCAGGAGACCUAGGGUCUCCCCUCCACCCUGCCCAGCUGGGUGACGUGAGGCACACCUUUUUCAUCCAUCCAUGCUUCAAUUUCUCCUGUGUUAAAUGGGCAUCAUGACAGUAACCUCUGUAAAGCAGCCUCCUGGUCUGUGUAACUUCAUUAAAACAAGAUUCAUCAAAAAGACUUCAUCUGCUGUCCUAUCAGUCAUACCUUUUCAAAGCCUUUCUUUAUAAUUAAAAUUUAGGAAGCCUAACGAAUGUGGCAACGAGGGCUGACUUUCCUGGACAGCCAGUUAAACACAUGGAGCAUGUGACCAGAAACUCAUAGCCAGUCUUGGGGAACUCACUGAGCUCUUGUAUCUUUCUUUUUUGAUGUAGAGAAUCGAUAACAGACUCCCACAGUUUAAUCUGUGAAAUCUGGUCACCCUUGAACUGCUAUACCAAAAAAUAUUAGCUUUUUAUAGUAAAAAAGCUGCGGGUGGAAACGCCAAACUACACAAACAGCAGCGUACACUACUGUUCCCUACUUUAGUACCUGAGUACUUUUAAUGCAGCUGUUUGGUUGUGACAGCAUUUUAUUUAACUAAUAACAUUUCUGUGAAGAAUUAAGAUAUAACGGAGAGAGCGAUGUUUUGUAGAUGAAGAUAAAUGCUGAGGCAUUCUCAUUCAGGACGACCACAUGCUCAAAAAAUGAUUGCAUCUGCGUCCUUGUGGUUAUUUACAAAUGAAAAAGCAUUCAGUAAGAGGAGUGAGCAUUCCCAAACUUCUCUAAAGAAACGCAAAUGUUUAAAAGCUUUUUUGUCAGAAACAUAUUAAUUUGUGGUCUUUCAAAUUCACAAAAGGUAAGUUUGCCACAUUACUACUGGAUGAAUUCCAUGGAACCGUAAUAUGAGGCUGGUUGAAGAAUUAAAUGGCAUUUUAAUUAUUAAACAUCUGUGAAAAUCUGGUGUAAAUCACAACUCCUGUCUGCUCCAUGUCUUUUUUUUUCCUAAGAGGCCAGGUUAGAGUUACUAGUUUUUGUAACUUGUGUUGAAUAAUGAAGUACUGUUGUACUGCUAGACUCUGCAAAAAGUGUCCUUUUGUUACCUGAAGCAGACAGGACUGACCCCACUGCAGACCCCAAGGCUUUGAACAUUAAAAUGCUGGGAACGCGGUGUGAGGAAAUAUCAGAGCCAAGUGAGACCUGUAGGAUUACUGUGUGCUCUUGCUGGAUGAAAAUUCUGUUUUUAAAUUGACUUUGAAAUAAAUAUUUAGCUAUAGGCCUUUGAGAGCCCUGGUUUGUUUGGGUUUAUGUUCUACACCAGCGCGUCACAGUAUUUGGUAAUUCACAUCCCUUGGGGUGGCUUCCUACUUAGAGCAUUACACAAAGAAUGCAUUUUCAAGCUAGAUUUCCAGUAAAUAACCCUGCGGUUCCAGGAGAUGGACUAAAAUAGCAGCAUGCCUGCAGCUCAAUGCCACUUAGAGUUAAGUUCAGAUCCCUCUCUAUUAUUCUGAUUACAUCCUCUUCUGUCCCUCUCUAUUAUUCUGAUUACAUCCUCUUCUGUCCCUCCCCCAACACUAGCAUCUUUGUCAGUGCCUUCUUCCUAGAGGCAUCUUAGUUUCCACUAAGUCCUCCACAACCCUAUCUUUAUGAGCAACCAUACUCUUAUGGCAUCCUGCACCGUGUUGCUGGAUACUUUCUUCCAGCCCCAUCCAUACUCAUCAUCUUCCACAACCCGUUUCCCAACUGCAUUGUGAGUUCUGCCAACGCUGCCAAAAACCUGUCAAUGCCCAGCACCUUUUCUCGGACCUCUUAAGCACAGAGAAGAACAACCUCAAAGCAUAGAUCACUCCUAGUCAAGGGCAGGGACUGCCCACACACUUCAAGAAGUAUUCAAAAAAUCCAUUAGUGGAUACAGAAUCUUAAAAUAAUGUGACUAAGAUAAGUUUUAUGAGCUGUAGUUUCCACAUGUCCUGAGGUAUAAUGGUUUUUAUUAAUUGCAGAAGAGUUUUUACCAUGCCUAAUUCAUUGUUCUCACUCUUUUCUAUAAACUCCUGCUUGGUUCUUGGUCUCAGCAAGGGCCAAAGAUUGGAACAAUGCAUUGUAUAAGGCAUAUUUCUUUUAAAUCUCUUCAGGACAUUAUUUUCUAAUUUAACACCUUCCUAUGUGAAAAACAGCUAGGAGAACUUCCAGUUUACUUACGCUGCACUUCUGUCAUGUACUUAUUCACUCACUGUGUCUAAACAGUCUCAAUAUUUAUUUAGCCUUCCUAACAGUCUUCUGAAUCUCUACUCUUUAUUGCUAUCUGUCUGGAAAUUGCUUUAAGCUCUCCCAUAACAUUUUUGAGAUAGAGUGGAAUUCAAGCUGUGAAAUAGUGGGAGAAGGGGAAUGGCAAACAAGGUGAUAAGACUGGAAGAAGGUCUGACAUAUAUGAUCUAACAUCAGGUAUUAGCCUCAGUAUAAUUUAGAAUGGCUAAAUGAAACAAAACCAGUAAAUGAUUCCUGAUUUUGUAAUGCCAAAUGGUUCAUUAGUUUUUCAGUCAGCAAAACGCAACUCCUAGGAUGACAGGAUAAUUCUGGUUGGAAGGGAACUCAAGAGAUUUCCAGUCCAAACUCCUGUUCAAAGCAGGGUCAGCUGUGAGAUUAGAUUGCAUUACCCAGGGCUUUGUCCCAUCUCAGAAGGCUCCAAGACAGGAGGCUGUGCAACCUUUUCAGCAGCCUUGCUUUCACUGCUUGACUGCCUUAUGGUGAAAAUGUUUUUCCAAAUGUAUGCUCUGCACCUUGAUAGCUUCAAGGUUCUGCCCAGCGUGUAUGUCCUGCUGAAGAAGCACGGCUCCGCCAGCCUCUCCUCCCACCCCAGGGUGCUGACUUGGCUGCCAGGGUGCGCUCCUCACCUGUGUCCCUCUGCUGCCCACCAGGGUCCCCAGGGCUGUCCUGCAGCAGUCAAGGCCCUGCCUGUCCUGCUGGCAUUGGCUCUUCAUCCCAGGGCAGGACGUCGUGUUUGUACUUACCAAGGUUCUUGCAGUCUCCAUCCUCCCAUUCCUCUGGCCUGCCUUGGUCUGUGCGACCGGCAGCCCUGUCCUGGAGCAGAUGGACUGCUUCCCCCAGCUUGGUGUCACCCACAGCCUGAUGAGCAAGCCCUCCAUCACCUCAUCCACAUCAGUGGUAAAGAAGCUAGACAGGAUGGGUCCAAGGACAGGCCCAUGCGUUAUCCCAUGCAUUACUGCCAUCUGGGUAGCGUACGACCCGCAAACCACUACCCCUCGGGCCCAGUCAUCCAACCAGAUUUUUUCCAACCGCAUUAGCCAGACCAUAACAUCCUAACUCAGCUACCAGAGUGCUGUGGGAGAUAUUAUCAGCCACCUUAAGUCAAAGUGAAUGACACCCACUGUUCUCCUCUCAUCCAUAAGACCAGUUAUUUUAUCGUAAAAGGCAAUCAUGUAUGAUUAACCCUCACGAAGUCCAUGCUGAAUGCUCCCAGUCACCUCCUUCAAGUACCCAGAAGAGGUUUCCAGGAAGACUUGCCCCAUGAUUUUUCCAGGGACCACAGCAAGGCUGACAAGCUUUUAUUUUCCCAGACCAAUCUCCUGGCCUUUUCCAAGUGAAAAAAGAGCUAUUAGAUGCGCUGCAGACCUAUGCUACAACAACUAGAGUAACCAGUUCAGAUUUUAGCCCUCUCAGGAAGAACUCAACAGAAGUAUAUUGACAACUGAGACGAAACCUGUGCUGAACAGCCCAAACAUUUCUGAAUCUGAAGAGCUGUUAAUAACAUUUGAUUAGCUUGUAAAUGAAAAGAACUCUUCCAAAGUUGCCAUAUGGGUUUCCCUACAGAUAUCAUGCUCAGUUCAGCCCUCCCCAAAAUGCUUUAUUCUCCUCCUUUAUGCCAUCUCACUCCAGGACAGGGCAUCAACUGGCUGGCCGUCACACUGGGGUGAGUUAGCAAUGUGUUACCAAAAAUGUAAGAAAAACAUCUGAAUGCUGAAGAAACAUUGUUUUUGAUCUUGUUUUCAUAGCAUUUUCUAUAGUCCCUCAACCACUUGCUUUUCUCCUCUCUCCUCCUUCUUUUCCUUUCAUCCCAGAAUGUUUCUCCUCAUCCCAUCUCUCCCCUGGACUGCCUUGGCAGGAAGUAUCACUGAGCAGAGGAGAAGCCUCUUUCGCACUUCUGUAUAGUUUACUACUACUCACUUUUCCAGGAAAGUGCUUUCACUUAUCCCAUAUUUCACUCUGCAGAGACAACUUGGCCAGCAUGUGGCACAUUUUCCAGUCACAGAUGUCUCUAUCAGAUUCAUGCCUGGUUCUUGGAGAUGUGGUAGAAGGGAUUUUUUUGUUGUUGUUGCUGUAUUUGAACUAGUACAAACAUUCCCAAGCCAAUAUAAAGAAAAUUUAUUUAUUCUCGUUGGCUCAUGCUGGAAGAGCAGGUCCUUCUGACUGCAUGUGUCUGCCUCAGUACAUAUGGUAAGGCUGAUGUUUACUUCCAAAUAAACAACUAUCUGACAUACCAUUAAAGGAAAAUGACUGAACGGUUAAUACACUCCCUUUCAAAUAUGAAGCCAUGGUUACAGCUCUGGGCUUACACUAAGUGACGAAACACAGCUUUAAGGUUGUGAAUUUACAGUCGGGUCCUUGUGCCUAUGAAGAUUUUCCUAAAACUUCAGGGGAAUUUCCAACUGUACUACAGGUCAUGCUGUUUGAAACCAAUUACAGGACUGGAACCUAAGAUUACUUUUUUUCCCCUAAAAA